rnacentral:rRNA from 1 species
GACGAACGCUGGCGGCGCGCUUAACACAUGCAAGUCGAACGGAAAGGCCUGCUUUCCCUUGUGGAUUGCGGGUACUCGAGUGGCGAACGGGUGAGUAACACGUGAGUGAUCUGCCCCCAACUUGGGUAUAAGCCUGGGAAACUGGGUCUAAUUCCCGAUAGGACUGCAGGGUGGUGCCUGUGGUGGAAAACGAGUUUCUAGUGGUUGGGGAUGAGCUCGCGGCCUAUCAGCUUGUUGGUGGGGUAAUGGCCUACCAAGGCGGCGACGGGUAGCCGGCCUGAGAGUGUGGACGGCCACAUUGGGACUGAGACACGGCCCAGACUCCUACGGGAGGCAGCAGUGGGGAAUAUUGCACAAUGGGCGGAAGCCUGAUGCAGCGACGCCGCGUGGGGGAUGACGGCCUUCGGGUUGUAAACUCCUUUCGACCGCGAGGAAGCCACCUGGUUGGAAGGGUGGUGACGGUAGUGGUAGAAGAAGCACCGGCUAACUACGUG